rnacentral:rRNA from 1 species
CAGUCGCCACGGUAAUACAGAGGGUGCGAGCGUUAAUCGGAUUUACUGGGCGUAAAGCGUGCGUAGGCGGCUUCUUAAGUCGGAUGUGAAAUCCCUGAGCUUAACUUAGGAAUUGCAUUCGAUACUGGGAAGCUAGAGUAUGGUAGAGGAUGGUAGAAUUCCAGGUGUAGCGGUGAAAUGCGUAGAGAUCUGGAGGAAUACCGAUGGCGAAGGCAGCCAUCUGGCCUAAUACUGACGCUGAGGUACGAAAGCAUGGGGAGCAAACAGGAUUAGAUACCCCUGUAGUCCCUGUCUCUUAUAA